AAAAUGCCACAAACACGUUACAACAAGCACUAAAGUUUCUCUUCCUGCAUCGCACCUUUUCACCACUGUGAUUCCCAAACAUUUGUCCAAAUCAAAAUGGGCAUAGAACAUAAGUACAAAUGUUUGGAAGCUAAAAGUAUACUACAUAAUUUUUCACUUAUAACACCUUUGUCCCUAUUUUUAACAGUGACUCGCUAUUGCAGCAUAAACUAAUUCAUUCUCGAAAUAUUCAGAAGAAAACAUAUUGACCAAGCAAAAAUCACUUUGGCACAAGAACCUUGUGACAACUAUAGAAAAAAGAUUGAGAUGGUUACUCUCAUAGAAGACAGCUUCAAAUAUAAUUUUAGGAAAUAAAUUUGUACAAUAUUGGCCUACACCGAAAGAAAAAAGCUCAUACACACAGUAUCAUGAAGGAAACGAUUCCUCGUUAUCUCAGUUCCAAAUGGAAACUGGUAUCAAUUCACUAAGAUUUAAAUGAAUGAGAACUGUUAAAUCCAUGUCUAUCUCCAUUUUUAGCGAUUUCAGCAGCGGGCUCACGGGUAUCUACACAACAGAAAUAUAGAAUAUGAGUUUCGGUUCACUUUAUGUGACAAUUAUAGAAAAGGAACAACCACAAGAAAAAACAAACAAACAUGAGAAAGCACAUGCAAGCAAAUAAGCCUUUAUUUUUUCUGAUGAACAUAUGAAACAUCAUAGUAACUAAACACAGUAACAAACCCAUUUGAAGGUAACCAUAUUAGUGCCCAUAGUGCAUAGUUAUUUGAUCCAUAUUUGUUGUCACGGGCGACAAGUACAUAAAAAUUGAUGAACGAUCAAAGGGUAUUUGGUCAAAGGAUAGUUAGUUCUACUUCACAAAUUGCGACCAUGAUACAUUACAAGUUUCAUAGAUUUUUGGUUUAAUGAAUGUUCAGCUAAGAAGAAAAUGAAUAAAAUAUCAACAUAUUAAUCUCUACUAUUAAACCACAGUUGGUACGUUAAACGGUACCCACGUAUCCACCACUCGCGUGACCUCCCCACAUCAUCGUUUUUUUCAACCGAACCCAUUUCCCGAUGCAAGGAAAAAAGCCCUACAACACCGACCACCCUUUUCCUUCUCCCUGGUACGACCCCCACAUGCACGAUUGCUCCUACGGCGCCGAUUUUGACCAUGUCUCCCAUGUGAUGUUGCUUUGUCCCGCUCCCUCUGCCAUCCAGACGCACUCCCUUGCCGCCUCUCUGCUUCAAGGUGUGUGCUCUGAAACCGUCACCUCCUUUCUUCAGCCCGUGGCAUCUAUUCUUCAAUGGAUCAUCUCAAUUUUUCGUCCUUCACUGAGUCCGGCGGCGACAACCAAAGAACCAAGUCCCCAUCCAUUUUUUGAGGGCAUGCAAUUAACGAAGGGGAUGUGUGGCCCAUGAGGUUGCUGCCAUCAGCCAUCGAGGCUGCUGAAAUCUAAUGAAAAAGUGCCUACGGUACAGUUCAUUUCCACUCUCAGUUGGUAGAAAUAAUCAAAUUUCAAGCAUACAAAUUCAAAAUGAAAAAGUCUAUUAUGAGCACCAGAAAGAUAGAAAUGAUCCAUUUAUUUCAAUGCAUACUACUACACCUUGGUGCUUAAAGACAAAACUUAGUUGCAAACAGUGCAUUACCUAGGAAGAACAUUUGGUGUACUGAGCAUAACAAUUCAAAAUUAUUCUAUGGCUAUGAAGUGCCUAAAUCUGAGGUUGCAACAUGAAAGCAAGUACUGAUCAAAUUGACAAAUUAUAUGGUUCAUUCGUUCAUAGUGAACACAGAAUUAAAAGAACUGCUAGAACUCAUGGUGGCAUUCUAUAGAAGCAUCAUUCUUCUGCAAGUAUAGUGUUCUUAAGAAAGCAUGGUGUAGCCAAGAGAUCAAGGUGUCAUACAAGCAUUAUUUCACAGCACAAUCUAGGGAAAAAAUCCUUCGUUCUGGAAGAAUGGCAACCCAAGAUGUACCGACGACAAGAUCCACAGUUGCUUUGCAUUACUCCAAAUCAAGAGUUGCGAUAGCAACCUGUUAAUCUGACAUACCUUUAGAUAGAAGCUCAACGACAAUUUCCUUCUGAACCCAUAUUGAGAAAAAUAAGCCAGAUUUGAAUUUUAAUAUCUUUGCCAGCAUUUAUUUUCAACUGUGCAGGCAAAAUAAAACAUGAAUUUCACACCGCAGAAACUACUAAAUGUGAAAUUACAGAAUUUUAGCAUUUGAAUAUGAGAGAAAUGUAAAGCAUUGUACAUGAUAGUAAUCGUGUUUCAUAGAACUUUGUCAGUGGUAGUGACAUGCCACCGACACCAAAUGCCGUUUAUAAUGUACUCCAUAAUGAUCUUUUUUCAGUUUAUCCAUAAUGAUCUACAACCAUUCCUUGAGCUUCACAUGGUACCUGGUCCUGAUACCAACAUCAAAACAAUGCAGAGUAUUGCUAUGUUUUAAAGUGUGCUUGUCUUAGCAAGGCGUGCCUCGGUUUUCGUUUACACCAUGGUAAACCUCCCACUCUCUAUAUCUCUCUCUAAACAUCUCCGCCUCCAUCAUCGCCCCCGCUCCCCUCACUAUGUCUCUAUGCACUGCCACUCCCCUGCUACCCA
rnacentral:lncRNA from 1 species